rnacentral:rRNA from 1 species
GAGUUUGAUCAUGGCUCAGAGUGAACGCUGGCGGUAGGCCUAACACAUGCAAGUCGAACGGCAGCACAGAGGAGCUCGCUCCUUGGGUGGCGAGUGGCGGACGGGUGAGGAAUACAUCGGAAUCUACUCUGUCGUGGGGGAUAACGUAGGGAAACUUACGCUAAUACCGCAUACGACCUACGGGUGAAAGCAGGGGAUCUUCGGACCUUGCGCGAUUGAAUGAGCCGAUGUCGGAUUAGCUAGUUGGCGGGGUAAAGGCCCACCAAGGCGACGAUCCGUAGCUGGUCUGAGAGGAUGAUCAGCCACACUGGAACUGAGACACGGUCCAGACUCCUACGGGAGGCAGCAGUGGGGAAUAUUGGACAAUGGGCGCAAGCCUGAUCCAGCCAUACCGCGUGGGUGAAGAAGGCCUCGGUU